rnacentral:rRNA from 1 species
UACGUAGGGCGCAAGCGUUGUCCGGAAUUAUUGGGCGUAAAGAGCUCGUAGGCGGUCUGUCGCGUCUGCUGUGAAAACUCAGGGCUUAACCCUGAGCUUGCAGUGGGUACGGGCAGACUAGAGUGCGGUAGGGGAGACUGGAAUUCCCUGGGUGUAGCGGUGAAAUGCGCAGAUAUCAGGAGGAACACCGGUGGCGAAGGCGGAUCUCUGGGCCUUACCUGACGCUCAGGUGCGAAAGCUAGGGGAGCGAACAGG